UCGGAGCUCGUACGAUUAUUUAAAGGAGAUGCAUUUAUGAGCUCGAGAAAAAGCCUGUUUGGAAUACCCAGAGGUGGGAGUUAAUUGAGAAACAGAUCUAGGGUUUAAUCAAAAUUUUCCUAAGUUAUAAAGGCACCUUCCCAUGCCCUAGCUCCCACAUCGCCCAAAACCCAUCUUCCCCCGAGCCCUCUCCCUCUCGUGAUCUCCUCACCAAAAUCGCUGAGCCACAGCCGUCAGCUUCCUCUUUUCCCUCACGGGAGCACCGAUCGAUCUCCCUCUCGCGAGUUCCCCCCACCUAGCCGGCCUCUCUUCCUCGCUCGAGCACCACAGCCGUCGGCUCUCCUCAUGCGAGCACCCCAGCCGCCACAGCCUCCGACCCCGUCGCCUUCAAUCGCGGGCUAACCAUCGGUCGAGAAGGGGAAGCCUAAACCCUAGCUUUGAUUCCCCGUCGUCGAAUGCUGAUGGAUGUAGCCAACGUCGAUGCCCUAAAUCCGCUGUCUCUGUGCCCAUAAGCAACUGGAUCAAGGUAAGCUAUCUUUGAGAAUUAGAUUUCAUGUUGUUGGUGGAUUUCGGAUGAUGGUAUUGAGUGCAAUCAUUAAAUUUGUUGUGGUUUAGGGUGUUGAUAUGGAGAAGGUAGAGAUCAGUUUUUGCCGUUCGAUUUUCCCCUUUGGCUCAAAUCUUGGUGGACAGAUUUAGGGAUUUGGGGGUUUUCUUACGAUUUCUGUUUGGGUGAGCACUGAUUUUCUCUUAGGGUUUUCCUUAAUUAGAUUCGAUUUUAGUUUAGCCACCUAAUUCAUGAUGGGUUUAGUUAACUGGUUCAUGUUUGACAUAGCUAUAAUUUACAUCAUAUGUUUGCAGGAUUUUGAUUUGAUACGGGUGAUUUGACGUUGGGUUGUAUUUGACACGGUCUACAUUUAAGGUAACAGUGGAUGAGUCAUGGAUGCUUGGAGACUCCCGACUGUCGGUCCCACUUCUCACAUCAUAGCUGAGGACAUUUAUUGGUUUUAUUUCGGCUUUACUUGUAUUUUUAGUAUUCAGCAAUUUUAGUGUUGUAUGAAUUUGUCUGUGUUUGGAGUUUGAUU